GGUAGCUCAGUUGGUUAAGCGUCUGACUCUUGACUUUGGCUCAGAUCAUGAUAUCAUUGUCAUGGGAUCAAACCCUGUGUUGGGCUCCACAAUGAGUGUGGGCCCUGAUUGGGGCUCUCUAUCCCUCUCCCACCCCUCCUCCUGCUCUCUCUUGCUCUCUCUAAAUAAAUAAACAUUGAAAGAAUAAAUAAAAACCUUUUUUUUGAAGUAUAGGAUUCAUCCCCCCAAAAUAUGCCAAUCAGAAGUGCACAAUCCUUAAGAAUUUUUCACAAACAGAUCCAAAUAACCAGCAACCAGAUCAAGAGACAACAUUACCAGCACUCCAGAAGCAACUUUUUAGGCCCUGCGCCAGCCUCUGCCUCCUCCCCCCUCCCCAAAGGGAUGUAUCUAUAGAAGAAUUCCUAAAAGAAAAAUUGCUGAAGGAAUUUGCAUUUUAAAUUGUGGUUGAUACUGCCAAGAACCCAAGAAUCCAAGGUGAGUUCUGUCCAUCUGGUAAGUGAGAGCAGUAUUUCAUUGUAAUUUCAGUUUGCACUUCUCUUAUUAUAAGCGAUGCACCUUUUCGUAUGCUCUUAGCCAUUUUGAUCUUUACUCUGAACCGUUUGUCAUAGACUUUUUUACUAAGUUGUUGGUCCCUUGUUACUAAUUUGUAAGUGUUCAUUUUAUAUAAAGGAAAUUAUUCUUUUGUGGUA